UACGUAGGGGGCAAGCGUUGUCCGGAAUCAUUGGGCGUAAAGCGCGCGUAGGCGGCCCUGUAAGUCCGUUGUGAAAGUCAAAGGCUCAACCUUUGAAAGCCGAUGGAUACUGCAGGGCUAGAGUCCGGAAGAGGCGAGUGGAACUGCGAGUGUAGAGGUGAAAUUCGUAGAUAUUCGCAAGAACACCAGUGGCGAAGGCGGCUCACUGGCCCGAUACUGACGCUGAGGUGCGAAAGCGUGGGGAGCAAACAGG
rnacentral:rRNA from 1 species